UGCUCACUCUGCAAAUAUCAGAAGAACAUGGCAAGAUCCGAACUGUGUGUGGCUACUGCAAGAGACCUGCAUGUGCCAAACACAUCACAUAUCAGUGUGAUGAUUGCAGAUUCUAAAAGAUCACACUCAAGAAAGGACCAUGGUGGGCUGCUUUGGGCAGAUAUAACUUCAGCAACUGUCCAACUAAAGGGAAUAAGUAGUUACUAAGCUCAAAAUUAGUUAUUAUAUUUUUCUCAUAAUAUUUUUGCAAACUAUGUGAAAUUUCGGAAAAUUUACAUUUUUAAUUUUGCUACAAUAAAAAUAUGGCAUAUUUUUCUUUA